UUGCUUACUAGGCAAGGGAGAUACCAUGAUCAUAAAUGUGGUUUUCCCAGGGUGAGGCUUAUCCAUUACAUUCCAUAUGUGCUGACCCCUGUGGUUUCCCCAAAUGUGGGACACUCGACUGUGUAAUUUGUGAUGGGGGAUCCAGCAUUAAUGCUCUUCUAUG